rnacentral:rRNA from 1 species
CCGGGUGAGUAACACGUGACUAACCUACCUUCAAGUGGGGGAUAACCUCGGGAAACCGGGGCUAAUACCGCAUAAAAUCUUUGGGAUGGAAAUUCUGAAGAUCAAAGGAGCAAUUCGCUGGAAGAGGGGGUCGCGGCUGAUUAGCUAGUUGGCGGGGUAAUGGCCCACCAAGGCAUUGAUGGGUAGCUGGUCUGAGAGGAUGAUCAGCCACACUGGAACUGAAACACGGUCCAG